UACGGAGGAUGCAAGCGUUAUCCGGAUUCAUUGGGUUUAAAGGGUGCGUAGGUGGAAUGAUAAGUCAGUGGUGAAAUCCUACAGCUCAACUGUAGAACUGCCAUUGAUACUGUCAUUCUUGAGUAUGGUUGAAGUGGGCGGAAUGUGACAUGUAGCAGUGAAAUGCAUAGAUAUGUCACGGAACACCCAUAGCGAAGGCAGCUUACUAGGCUGUAACUGACGCUGAGGCACGAAAGUGUGGGGAUUAAACAGG
rnacentral:rRNA from 1 species